rnacentral:rRNA from 1 species
AACAGGCUUGAGCUUGGGGCGUAUUUUAUUGGUAUUACCUUUUGUAUCAUGAUUUGGGGAGUAGAAGGGUGUAUACCUGGUGUUAGAAAAGUGAUGAUUUUUCUUUUUUAUUUUUCUUGUGAAAAGAGGAGUAUAAAAAAUGUAAUGUAGUGAUAAGUUAAUCGGGUCAUUUUAUAACUAGUGGCGGGGUAUGUCAUUAUGCUAACUUCUUUGGCUUAGAUGUCUGAGAGGAGAUUAUAAGAAUUGUAGAUUUUACAAAUGUUGGGUUUAAAGGUAUCCGAAGGUUGGUAGUGUUACAACUCUGUUGGUUGUGUGUUAUUUUUUAUGUGGAGCCCCGCGUUAAAAUUAUUAGAUAAGCAGUAUCCUAGAAUGAGUAGAUUAUUAGCUAAACAAGGUUUUGAGUUAACUUGCACUGUUUAUUACAAACAUUUCCGCAAUAAAAUAUUUGCGGUAUAACCUGCUCAGUGUAAAUUAACAGCCGCAGUAUUUUGACUGUGCUAAGGUAGCAUAAUUACUUGUCCCCUAAAUAGGGAAUUGUUUGAAUGGUUUAUUGGGGUUAUACUAGAUUCUUUAGCUGUGUGAAAUUAGGGUAUGGGUAAAGAUUCCCAUGUUAAAAUAAAAGACGGAAAGACCCCGAGAGCUUAUGGUUUAAUUUACUUGGGGCGAGGGUCUUUAUUCAAAGACAUUGUGAUCCUGAAUGUAGUUUAAUGGUUAAGUUACCUCGGGGAUAACAGGGUAAGAAGUAAGGAGAGAUCACAUCGAUUUACUUAGGUGCCACCUCGAUGUUGACUUAAAGUAACCCUGGGAAGCAGUAUUCUCGUGGGUAGGCCUGUUCGGCCUUUAAAUCUUUUCAUGAGUUGAGUUGAGACCGGUGUAAGCCAGGUCGGUUCCUAUCUAUAAGUUUGUUUUUCUAGUACGAAAGGAUUGAGAAACUUUUAAGUUGGGGAGGG